rnacentral:tRNA from 1 species
NNGCCGCUAGCUCAGUUGGUUAGAGCAGCUGACUCUUAAUCAGCGGGUCCGGGGUUCGAGUCCCUGGCGGCGCAC